CCUACGGGUGGCUGCAGUAGGGAAUAUUGCUCAAUGGGGGAAACCCUGAAGCAGCAACGCCGCGUGGAGGAUGAAGGUUUUCGGAUUGUAAACCUCUUUUGUUAGAAGAUAAUGACGAUAUCUAUCGAAUAAGUACCGGCUAACUUCGUGCCAGCAGCCGCGGUAAUACGGAGGGUGCAAGCGUUACCCGGAAUCACUGGGCGUAAAGAGCGCGUAGGCGGGAUUGCAAGUCAGAUGUGAAAGCCUAUGGCUUAACCAUAGAAGUGCAUUUGAAACUGUUAGUCUUGAGUGUGGGAGAGGUAGGUGGAAUUCUUGGUGUAGGGGUAAAAUGCGUAGAGAUCAAGAGGAAUACUGAUUGCGAAGGCGGCCUGCUAGAACAUAACUGACGCUGAUGCGCGAAAGCGUGGGGAGCAAACAGGAUUAGAUACCCUUGUAGUC
rnacentral:rRNA from 1 species